rnacentral:rRNA from 1 species
AGUAAUACAUAUUUAACUUACUUUUACGAGGAGGAUAGCAGUUCGAAAGGACUAUUAAUACUCCAUAGGUUUAUAAACUAAAUCAAAGAGGCUCCCUCGGGGGCCUCGCGUGAAAAUAGGAAUAUGUCCUAUUAGGUAGUUGGCGGGGUAAAGGCCCACCAAGCCAGUGAUGGGUAGCUGGACUGAGAGGUUGAACAGCCGCAAUGGGAUUGAGAUAUGGCCCAUAUUCCUACGGGAAGCAGCAGUGAGGAAUUUUUCACAAUGGACGAAAGUCUGAUGGAGCAAUACCACGUGAACGAUGAAGGUCUUCUGAUUGUAAAGUUCUUUUAUUUAGGAAAAAAAGCGCGCUAGGAAAUGAGCGCGCCUUGAUGGUACUAAUUGAAUAAGUGACAGCUAACUAUGUGCCAGCAGCUGCGGUAAAACAUAGGUCACGAGCAUUAUCCGGAUUUAUUGGGCGUAAAGGAAGCGUAGGUGGGGAGGUUGAUCCAUUGUUAAAGGCAUUUGCUUAACAAAUGUGUGUGAUGGAGAUCGCCUCCCUAGAGUUAAUCAGGGGGUACUGGAAUUCAAUGUGUAGCGGUGGAAUGCGUAGAUAUAUUGAGGAACACCAGAGGCUAAGGCGAGUACCUAGGAUAUAACUGACACUGAGGCUUGAAAGCGUGGGGAGCAAAUGGGAUUAGAUACCCCAGUAGUCCACGCCGUAAACGAUGGGCAUUAGGUAUUUGACAUCUAGUCGAGUGCUGUAGCUAACGCGUUAAAUGCCCCGCCUGGGUAGUAUAUAUGCAAAUAUGAAACUCAAAGAAAUUGACGGGGACCUGAACAAGUGGUGGAG